rnacentral:tRNA from 1 species
GGAGAGGUAUCGAAGUGGUCAUAACGAGGCGGUCUUGAAAACCGUUUGGGUGUAAGCCCGCGUGGGUUCGAAUCCCACCCUCUCCGCCA